rnacentral:rRNA from 1 species
UUGAUGGAGAGUUUGAUCCUGGCUCAGGACGAACGCUGGCGGCGUGCCUAAUACAUGCAAGUCGGGCGGAGCCCGAGGGGAGUUUGCUCCUUAUCGGGCUCAGCGGCGGACGGGUGAGUAACACGUGGGUAACCUGCCCGUAAGACCGGGAUAACUCCGGGAAACCGGGGCUAAUACCGGAUAACACCGGGGGCCGCAUGGCUUCCGGUU